GUGCUCUCCUUGGCAGCAUGUAUACUAAAAUUGGAAUGAUGCAGAGAACAUUAGCAUGUCCCCUGCACAAGGAUGACAUGCAAAUUCGUGAAGUGUUCCAUAUUUUU